GCUUGCAGGUCCAAACCACUGGUAGCAGCCCCUGGUAUAUCCAGGACAUCAGCACAUAGAACCAGUGAAAGGGUCCUCCCUCAUAGUGACGCAUGUCAUAGACUCAGAUUUAUACAAACAAAUGCUGAGCAAACCAUGAAGAGUCUCUGGUAUUUUCAACAAUAUCAUCACAGAGGAACUGUAUUGAUUUCCUUGAACUUUUCAAAUGUAGAGGAGCCUUUAGAAGGAAGCCUUGAGCAUGAGGACAGACCCCCCUCAUCCAACCACCACCUGACUCUGUGUGAACCUGGAACUGUUAGAAUGUCUGUGCUGUGAUAAAAGGUCAUCUCCCUACAAUGUUAUGAUACAGACCUCAAACCUACAAACAUGAGGAACUUCUGCCUCCAGGUUAACUGCUUACCCACUGUACAAGACACGUUACACACAGUCCAGGAGGCGGAGCUUCUGAGAUAUCUAGAAACAGCUUAGAGGCAAAAUGACAAAAUAAAGCAGCAACAACAAAUAAAACCAAUCUUCUCGAACUGGC